AUCCCAGGAGCCUGGAGGAACAAGAAUCUUCACUCAUUUGGAAAGCACUAACUGAACACCUGCUGUGUGGGGCACUCCAGAGAAGACAGCCCAAAUGUGGGAAGGAGGAGAGAGUUAAGAAGUAUGUGGCUGAGAUAGAGGGAGACGCGCACCAGGAAGGUUUCUCAGAGAGCAGAGCAGAUUUGAAUGUCUGGGCAUUAGAGGAGGACACCGUGGCAGAGACAAGGGUGCCCAGAUGUGGAAUAGGCAUUCAAGGCUACGUGUCACGGUGGCCAUCUGGAGAUGACAUGGGCAGAGGCCAGUGACGUAGGUCCGUGCAUUCCAGGCUGAGGAUGCUGGACUCUAUCCACAGGCAAUGGGGACCCACCGAAGGAUGUGGAGCAGAGGUGUGCAUCCGGGAGGCUGGAGACAGCAGGGGGCAUAGCACGUCUUCCUGAUGAUCAAGGUCAAGCAGCCAGCAAGGACUGGCCUCACUGGGUCUCAUCAGGCUGCACAUCCCAGGAGAAGCAAGUUACAAGCAAAUAAACCACGAUGACUCAGAGCAGUCUGAUCUUAAAAUAUUAUUAAAGAGAAAGACUGUUGUAUGA